rnacentral:rRNA from 1 species
CCUACGGGAGGCAGCAGUGGGGAAUAUUGCACAAUGGGCGAAAGCCUGAUGCAGCAACGCCGCGUGAACGAUGAAGGCCUUCGGGUCGUAAAGCUCUGUCCUCAAGGAAGAUAAUGACGGUACUUGAGGAAGAAGCCCCGGCUAACUACGUGCCAGCAGCCGCGGUAAUACGUAGGGGGCUAGCGUUAUCCGGAAUUACUGGGCGUAACGGGUGCGUAGGUGGGUUAUUAAGUCAGAGGUGAAAGGCUACGGCUCAACCGUAGUAAGCCUUUGAAAAUGGGGAACUUGAGUGCAGGAGAGGAGAGUGGAAUUCCUAGUGUAGCGGUGAAAUGCGUAGAUAUUAGGAGGAACACUAGUUGCGAAGGCGGCUCGCUGGACUGUAACUGACACUGAGGCACGAAAGCGUGGGGAGCAAACAGGAUUAGAUACCCUUGUAGUC